rnacentral:rRNA from 1 species
GGGAAUCUACCGUGCCCUGCGGAAUAGCUCCGGGAAACUGGAAUUAAUACCGCAUACGCCCUACGGGGGAAAGAUUUAUCGGGGUAUGAUGAGCCCGCGUUGGAUUAGCUAGUUGGUGGGGUAAAGGCCUACCAAGGCGACGAUCCAUAGCUGGUCUGAGAGGAUGAUCAGCCACAUUGGGACUGAGACACGGCCCAAACUCCUACGGGAGGCAGCGGUGGGGAAUAUUGGACAAUGGGCGCAAGCCUGAUCCAGCCAUGCCGCGUGAGUGAUGAAGGCCUUAGGGUUGUAAAGCUCUUUCACCGGUGAAGAUAAUGACGGUAACCGGAGAAGAAGCCCCGGCUAACUUCGUGCCAGCAGCCGCGGUAAUACGAAGGGGGCUAGCGUUGUUCGGAAUUACUGGGCGUAAAGCGCACGUAGGCGGAUAUUUAAGUCAGGGGUGAAAUCCCAGAGCUCAACUCUGGAACUGCCUUUGAUACUGGGUAUCUUGAGUAUGGAAGAGGUAAGUGGAAUUGCGAGU